GAGAACAGUAGUUCUGAAAAAGGAAGGAGGAUUUCUUCUCUUCUGACCUCUCGGUGAGCAGUCCGCACCCGGCGCUGUUGUCGGAGUGAGGAAUAAUAAUAGCAGCAGCUGUAGCCGGAACAUUUAUUGAGAGAUUGCUGGGUACUGGGCAUCGUUCUAAGUGGGUUUCCUAUCAAUUAGCUCAUUUAAUACUUAGCCAUAUUGUGCCGUCGAUUUUUACUUUCAUACAUGCUUUCCAUACCAGCAACUUCACAGACAGGUGCAGUCACUUGCCCAAGGCCAACACAACUAGUACGCAGCAGAACCUGGUGCCCCACACCCUCGGGCGUCACUCUAGAGUGCGUCCUGGUGCGCACAAAAGUUCGCCCUCCAGUUACCGCUCAGUGGUAGAACCAGGUCUCCUGCUCCAGGCUGGGACUGUCACGUGGCACGGUCAUUCCCCCGGUGCACCUGUGAACCUGGGGCAAGUGGAACGCCGGGGCCCAGAUCGUUUAUGGGAAGUUUGCUGUUACCCACAGAGCAGAGAGCAGGGCCCCGAGCCCCAAGAAACAGAAAACAGACGGAGUGAGUUUAGAGCAGUGGUUCACACGGGCUGCCCACAAGAAUACUCAGGGGGGAGCUGAAGCCAUAUCCCAGGCCAAUUAACCAGAAUCUCUGGGGUGGAGCCCAGGCAUGAAUAUUCUUUAAGCUUCCCCAGGUGAAUUCAGUGUCCAGCCCAGGCAGAUAAUCACUAGUUUGUAGGCUUUCUAGCUUAAUAGAAAUAACCAUAGUUUAAGAUCUGCCUGGCUGAAUCAGUUUCACAAGGUUUUUGCGUAACCUGAGUGUCCAGAGCUGAAAAGCCUGUGGCUGUUUUGAAAACAUUAUAUUAAAUUUUGGUGAAAAUUUCUAACUCUGUAGCCUUCCUUUCUGGAAAAAGAAAAUAAAAUCCUUUUUAAAAUAUCCACCUGGGCUUGAGAUUCGGCUUCACUGUCGCCAAGCUGUGUGAUUUUGUGCCAGUCACUUACCUUCUCUAAGUCUCAAUUUCCUCGUCUGUGGGAAAGGUUCUAAGUCCCUCUUCUUUAUGUGAAGAUCAAAUGAGAUGAUACCUAUAAGACCUCUAGCAUAGAACUGGCACUCAGCUCCAUUCUUACCAUCAAGGAGGAGUCAGGACAGAAGUGGCUUCUGCAGGACCAUCCAGGGAGUCAGUGCCAACGACUCACCAUCCCUAGGCUGAGGCUGUGGAAUGGACUCUGGGAGCCUCAGACCCCAGCCCCUCCCGCCUUGAUCUUCCACCCUCGCGGAGGGGCCUAAGACUUCUGAGUAGGGAGUCCUGGGGUAGGCGCCAUUACCCUCCUUUACGGGAUGAAACUGAGGUGGUGCUGGUGACUGGCAACCAGGAAUUUAACUGAAAUCAGUCAGACUCCAGGAAAAAAGAUAAGAUGAUCUGUGCCCAGCCCUGGAGGGUUGAUACAGGUGAAGAGUGAGAAGAAGUCAGAGCUUCUGGUUGUCAAUCCUGGCUGCCCACUAGAGUCACCCGGGAAGCCUGUAAAGCCCAACAAUCAAGCUACACCUGACACCAAUGCAGUGAAGCUCUUUGGAAGCAGAUGGGGCCCAGGGUUCCGAGGCUUUAAAGCCCCCCUGUGAUUGUGCUGUGUGGCCAGCUGGGGGAGCUCUUGCAGGGAGUCGGCGGAAGGCUUGGAAUGCUCGCUCAUCCCAAACACUUCCUGCAAGUAAGAGCUCCGAGCUCUUCUGAAAUCCUGUGUUUUUUCUCCUUUAGAAUUUGAAGGCAUUCAGACUUCAUCUUCUUUCUAAUCGGUCUUGUUUCUUUACGGGCUUUUCUUUUCCUUCCUAAAGUUUCACCAAAUUCCUCGUUACAGGCUUCCCGCAUCUCCUUUACAUUGUCUUUUUUCUCCACCGCCCCCAUCCCCACACCUCCACCCCCAAUCUCACCUCUCUUUCCUUCCCUCCAUCCUCCACCACUUACGCCAAACAUUUUCCCCCUUGAAUUUGGUCUGGAUCCUCAAGCCUUCUAGAAGAGUGCAUCGUAAAGCCUAAGCACCUCUUCAGGUCUUGUUCGGUCUUCUCCGGCAACGUCUUGUCACUGCUCCGCUGGCCAUGACCCUCACGUCCCCAUGCACUAGUGUCUUCUGGGCUCUGUUGCCUGCCCCUGCAUGCAGCUCCGGAGCAGCCACUGGGACGUCCUCCACGGCAGGUGUGUCUGUACCGGAGGGGGCAGCACUUCCAGGCGGAAGCUGCUGCCGGGAGCCUCCAGAGGUGGAUCUGAGAUGGAAGUAUGCUCAAGGAGGCGUGCCAUUUCUGGAUCCUGAGGCCAACACUUUUUUCUACUUGGACAGCAGCCACUAUUUGACUAUCAGGACUGAAGCUUCAUCAGGACCUAGAGAAGACAGACACUAUAAUUGUUACAGUGCUAUGUGGGAGAGCCCCCACAUUUUACUGCCUCCAGCCUAAUUCAGAGAAAAAGGGAGAAGGGGCAAGAGCUUCCUGUCUUGGCAACAUGGCCGGCAAAACUGCCUGUCAGUCCUACCCUGAACACACAUCAAUCAAGUGAACAGGCUUACAAACCUCUGUAAUAUUAUAAGCCCCAUUAACUCACCGUAACUGUAGCCUGAUUUAAUUAAUUGUUUCCACUCUUGGCAUUAACUUCACUGAAAAUAGCAAAAUGCUGAUUGAAAAAACAAGUGUAUCCCUGUUCUU